UACGUAGGGGGCUAGCGUUGUCCGGAAUCAUUGGGCGUAAAGAGCGUGUAGGCGGUCCUGUAAGUCCGCUGUGAAAGUCAAGGGCUCAACCCUUGAAUGCCGGUGGAUACUGCAGGACUAGAGUCCGGAAGAGGCGAGUGGAAUUCCUGGUGUAGCGGUGAAAUGCGCAGAUAUCAGGAGGAACACCGAUGGCGAAGGCAGCUCGCUGGGACGGUACUGACGCUGAGACGCGAAAGCGUGGGGAGCAAACAGG
rnacentral:rRNA from 1 species